GCUGGGUGUAAUGGCACACACCUGUAAUCCCAGUGACUUGGGAGGCUGAGGCAGGAGGAAAUUGUGAGACUUCAAAGCCAGCCUCAACAAAAGUGAGGUCCUAAGCAACUUAGUGAGACUCUG
rnacentral:sRNA from 1 species